AUUGAACGCUGGCGGCAGGCCUAACACAUGCAAGUCGAACGCGUGGCGGACGGGUGAGUAAUGUCUGGGAAACUGCCUGAUGGAGGGGGAUCACUACUGGAAACGGUAGCUAAUACCGCAUACCAUCAAAUGUUCGCAGAUGGGAUUAGCUAGUUGGUGGGGUAACGGCUCACCAAGUCGACGAUCCCUAGCUGGUCUGAGAGGAUGACCAGGCACACUGGAACGGAGACACGGUCCAGAAUCCUACGGGAGGCAGCAGUGGGGAAUCUGGCACAAUGGGCGCAAGCCUGAUGAAGCCAUGCCGCGUGUAUGAAGAAGGCCUUCGGGUUGUAAAGUACUUUCAGCGGGGAGGCGUUACCCGCAGAAGAAGCACCGGCUAACUCCGUGCCAGCCUCCGCGGUAAUAC
rnacentral:rRNA from 1 species